AUUUUAUUAAAUCGAAACCAUAUUCGGUGAUCCUGCGUUUGGGAAGAAUAUAGUUCUGGUGGCUGUGAUUAUGUCUGUAUUCUCACUGCUGACGAUCUACUUUGUCGGAACUGCUGUUCGUGUUUUAGCCGCUGUUUACGCCGCGGUGGAUUCGGUUGGUGGACUGAUGUUUGUCCCAGCAGGCUAUAGGGAGCAGGACUGGAUGGUGAAAGAUGAUGUAGCGUCUCAGCCCAGGACAGAGAUUCACAAGCACGAUGGACUGAGCUGAUGAUGUUACAGCUGGUUUUGAUUAGAAUGUGGUUUCUGAACUACUAAGCGAUCUGCUGUGCACUGAAUACAAUGCGACUACUUUUGGGAAGCACAUGCUUCGAUGGACACACUAAUGGACACGAAUUUCCAUGAACUGUCGCGACUUUCACUGGACGAUACAGACUCUAGAAGAUUUUACUCUCUAUCUGAAUCUCUCUCUACAUAUGGAGUGAUAACUGCGUUUUGUUUUAUAGUGUAAACUAGAUUUUUUUGUAAAAUCCUUUUUAUGUCUGCCAUAAAAUACACUUCAUAUAGAUGGGUUAUGAAUGUGACAUCAUAACCUACAUUUACAUUUUCAGCAUUUAGCAGACGCCUUUAUCCAAAGCGACUUACAGUACAGUUACAGUAUACAAUCUGAGCAAUUGAGGGUUAAGGGCCUUGCUUAAGGGCCCAACAGCAGCAACCUGGCAGUGGUGAGGCUUGAACCAGCGACCUUUUGAUUACUAGUCCUGUACCCUAACCACUAGGCUACGGCUUGCCCUAGCAGCGUGCCCUAGCAGCCCACCAUAUGGAAUACAAUGCCUUUAUUUUUCAUAUAUACACAUACAGGUGUACAGUACAAUGAAAUUCUUUCUUCGCAUAUCCUAGCUUGUUUGGAAGCUGGGGUUAGAGCACAGCGUCAGCCCCCUUGCUCAGGGGCCCCGAACAGUGGCAGCAUGGCAGAGCAGGUAUUCAAACUCUCAACCUUUAGAUUGAUGAGCCAAAGCUCUACCCACUAGACUACCACUGUCCCAAAGUUCAUGGCCAGUUCAUUUGCAACAAUGUUAAAUUGAUGCUGGUGGUUGUUAGGCGUAAAUGCCAGUUUGCAGUAAAAUGCCAUAGUAAAAGAACACAGUGGGCCAGGGUAUCCAGUUUAAGAUUUGAUUUAAGACUGUUUGAGACUGACAUGAGCAACACAGUGUACAAAUCCUAAGUGAACUGUACUGCACUCAUAGUCGUCAGUACACAAUGAUCUUUAACAGCUUCAAAUUUGUUACCACAUUUACAAAUACAUUUGUAACAUUUUCAAAAGAUGUAGUAACAACUGAAAUAUGUAACUUGUUAACUCACUUGAACCUUUAUUUAACAUAAAAAAGGACAAAAAUUUUCAGUGUUUUUAAUGACGAACUUAAUUGUAUUUGUUAAAUAUAAACAAAUUUAGAAAUUGAUGCCUACAACACAGAGUCAAGUUUUCAACAUGGUCACAUCAUGCUGUAUCACUAAAUGCCAAUAAAUCAGUGUUAUCUCUUUUUUUACUGUAAAGGUUUUACGGCAAAGUUACUUUGAAGGUCAAGCAUGUGGUCUGUUGGUUAAAUGUGCAGCUGUCUUCAUUUAAUAUUAAAAGAAUAAAGCUUUAAUUUUUUUGA